rnacentral:tRNA from 1 species
GCGGGAUUAGUUGAGUGGCUCAACGCCACCUUCCCAUGGUGGAGACACGGGUUCAAUUCCCGUAUCCCGCU